AGGGGAUCUGUUACUCCCCCCUAGACACCCAGGAAGAUUUGGCGUUGCUUGACAACAGUUUGAGGCAGGAUAAAGAUCUCCAGCAACGAUUUCUUCGGUUUUUGGCAAUCAAAUGUGGGAGGGACCUAAAGACAACCGUGUGGGGAAUGCUUCAGAGUAUCUUCUCUAAUCACCUUUCCAUCAAUACAACCUGGACUGGUGUAGGGGAUAAAGCAUGUUUUAGAGACAUGUUCCUGAAGACCAUUGUUCAAAGAGCCAUCCGGAAGAACCCGGCAACACAGGAUGCCACUGAUGAGGCGAUCCAGGUUAACGUUACCUGAAAGGAGCAUCUGAACAUGAAGGUGGAAAAAGGCGCCGCACAGCUGAGAGGGACCCACAGCUGACCCCUUAAACCUAGGCUGACUACUGACACCCCAGCAUCACUGACAACUGGAACCCUUUCUUUAUCCUGCAGUCAGUAACAUCAAGACCCCUAAAAAAGCCUGCUAAAA